AAAAAUUCAGUGCAAAAUAAUUCAACGUCUCAAAAAAUUCUGUGUAAAAAUAUUCAGAGUCAACAUCCAGGUAACCACGGAGAAGCAAUCGAUCCCUGUAUCAAAUCAUCCAACAUCCAGCCAAUCAAGUUACGCUCCAUUGGUCAUGUGACACCGAAACAGGAAGGCGGUGAAGUUCAGGUGAGCUCUGGUCAGAGCUCCGGUCAGAGCUCAGCAUGGCUCAGAACACAAAUGAUUGCGCUUCGCUACAACAUUGUUGUCUUUGGUGGUAUUGACGGUUUUUCCCGUAAGAUAAUGUAUCUUGGUGCAGCCUCCAACAACCUUACAUCAACCACCCUGGCUUUCUUCCUAGAAUCUGUUGAGAAGUUUGGUUUUCCUCUCAGGGCAUGGAUAUUCUUGACAUUGAGUGGGAAAACAGCGGACUUCCAUUUGAUGACCAGUCGAGCAUCAUUGUUCCAGACACAGCAUGCCCCCUGACCGAUGGACAAAUGACA